CCUCGCGCUAUAGGGGCGGCCGAUGGCAGAUUAGCUAGUUGGUGGGGUAAAGGCCUACCAAGGCGACGAUCUGUAGCUGGUCUGAGAGGACGACCAGCCACACUGGGACUGAGACACGGCCCAGACUCCUACGGGAGGCAGCAGUGGGGAAUUUUGGACAAUGGGGGAAACCCUGAUCCAGCAAUGCCGCGUGUGUGAAGAAGGCCUUCGGGUUGUAAAGCACUUUUGUCCGGAAAGAAAACUUCUGCCCUAAUACGGCGGGAGGAUGACGGUACCGGAAGAAUAAGCACCGGCUAACUACGUGCCAGCAGCCGCGGUAAUACGUAGGGUGCGAGCGUUAAUCGGAAUUACUGGGCGUAAAGCGUGCGCAGGCGGUUCGUUAAGACAGAUGUGAAAUCCCCGGGCUUAACCUGGGAACUGCAUUUGUGACUGGCGAGCUAGAGUAUGGCAGAGGGGGGUAGAAUUCCACGUGUAGCAGUGAAAUGCGUAGAGAUGUGGAGGAAUACCGAUGGCGAAGGCAG
rnacentral:rRNA from 1 species